UACGUAGGGUGCGAGCGUUGUCCGGAUUUAUUGGGCGUAAAGGGCUCGUAGGCGGCGUGUCGCGUCGGGAGUGAAAGCCCGCUGCUUAACGGCGGGUUGGCUUCCGGUACGGGCAUGCUGGAGUGCGGCAGGGGAGACUGGAAUUCCUGGUGUAGCGGUGGAAUGCGCAGAUAUCAGGAAGAACACCCGUGGCUAAGGCGGCUCUCUAGUACGGUACUGACGCUGAGACGCGAAAGCGUGGGGAGCGAACAGG
rnacentral:rRNA from 1 species